UGGCCGACUGUGGUGAAGUUUAGUUUGAUUCCCACAAUCGGUUCGAAGAAGUAAAGACUUUAUAAUAUCACGUUUUGUUUAAGUUAUAAUUCCCGUUCUAAAGUCAACGCUCGCUCACAUGUUAUAUACUAUAUCCGAAGUGUCAAUCAAAUUGUACAUUUCCUUAAUAAUAUUAACACUACUGAUCUAUAAAUGUAACUGUAUAAACGUUCACGAUACACUCCCCCUAUUUUAAAUAAUCCUUAUUUGAAAUAUAAACUAACUAAGUUUGACUAACUGUUGUUCGCUUUAUCAAGUCACUUACAGUUUUACUUAUACCCAUGCAAAGUUAUUAGUCACCGUCCUCUUCAGUCUCCUGCAUCUGAUGAAUAUUCCUUAAUGCUUCAACCGCUGCUCUUCGUUUUGGUCUAAACUCUCUGGCUUCGGGGUUCAGUUCUCCUUGAUUUUGUUUCUUCGCUUCACAGUGUAGCUCCAUUGGAUAUAGAAACUGAAUAGGUCUUUCGAGGUAACUCUUUCCUGCACGCAGUCUCACCGCUCUCACAAUUUCAUCUCUUCCAGGUAUUAGUUUGUCCACGAUUCCAAUCUUCCACUUGCCUCGGUUCUUUUCAUCGCCCUUGAUAAGAACUACAUCGCCUUCUUGCAAUCGUGCACUUUUCCCGUGGUGUCGUAAAUUGUGUCUCUCUCGAAGUGCUCUCAUGUAUUCAUUUCGCCAACGACGCCAUAACGCAUCUUUACACUUCUUUAAAUGUUUUGCUCUCCUUCGUAGAUCGUCUUCUUCAAUUUCUUCGACAGGCAACUCUAAUAGAUAAUUUGCUUUUCCCAAUAUCAGGAGGUUUGGUGUGAGAACCGGAAGUUGCACGUCAUCUUCACAAUACGUUAAAGGGCGGGUAUUCAGUACUAUUUGUAUGUCCAAUAAUACAUCUUGCAACUCUUUGUAAGUGAGUUUAGCUGAACCAACAACUUUGUAAAGCGAAUUCUUCACCAAUCCAACCAUUCUUUCAAACAAGCCGCCCCACCAGCUUGCCUUGCUUAAGUUAAAGGGAGGGGAGGUGAAAAAUUUACACUGUACCUCCGAUAGGCCCUGUAAUUUUCCCUAUUGAAAAGUCUCUGCACGAAUUUUUUUUUCAAACAUUUCUGGUGCACGAUUUUUUUUUCUUUCUAUUUUCCCUGCUCGAUUUUUAUUUUUGCUUUUGCCCCCC